rnacentral:rRNA from 1 species
UACGUAGGGGGCAAGCGUUGUCCGGAAUCAUUGGGCGUAAAGAGCGUGUAGGCGGCCCGAUAAGUCCGCUGUGAAAGUCCAGGGCUCAACCCUGGGAUGCCGGUGGAUACUGUCGGGCUCGAGUCCGGAAGAGGAGUGUGGAAUUCCUGGUGUAGCGGUGGAAUGCGCAGAUAUCAGGAGGAACACCGAUGGCGAAGGCAGAUCUCUGGGCCGUAACUGACGCUGAGGAGCGAAAGCAUGGGGAGCGAACAGG